GCAAUUCCACAGAAAAAUGCAGACUGGUUAACAUUUCAACACUUCUGAAAUUUGAGAUAAUGAGCGGCCACAAUUUCGUAGGAACCAAGCAUAAGGUCAAAACCAGAGAUUUUAACCGAACCAAAAGGAAGCAGAGAAGUCGUUCUGGCCAAGCUUUUGAUCAAUAUGCCGAAAGGCAUCAACAUAUGCAUUGCCAGUAGCAGAAACCAAACACAAAGCGUUGAAGGUUCUAAUAUCCGAAUAAGAAGAGGCAACUCUCAUUACAAGCAAGCAGCUAAUAAAGCGUAGGUCCAUCGCCAUUUUAAGAUCCAGGCUGCAUUUUACCAUAGAAACCAUAUAUGAACUUUGAAAAAUGUUAGAUUUAAAAAGAAAGU